ACGGGAGGCAGCAGUGGGGAAUAUUGCACAAUGGGGGAAAACCCUGAUGCAGCCAUGCCGCGUGUGUGAAGAAGGCCUUCGGGUUGUAAAGCACUUUCAGUAGGGAGGAAGGUAGUGUAGUUAACACCUGCAUUAUUUGACGUUACCUACAGAAGAAGCACCGGCUAACUCCGUGCCAGCAGCCGCGGUAAUACGGAGGGUGCGAGCGUUAAUCGGAAUUACUGGGCGUAAAGCGCAUGCAGGCGGCCUGUUAAGUCAGAUGUGAAAGCCCGGGGCUUAACCUCGGAAUUGCAUUUGAAACUGGCAGGCUAGAGUCUUGUAGAGGGGGUAGAAUUUCAGGUGUAGCGGUGAAAUGCGUAGAGAUCUGAAGGAAUACCAGUGGCGAAGGCGGCCCCCUGGACAAAGACUGACGCUCAGAUGCGAAAGCGUGGGGAGCAAACAGGAUUAGAUACCCUGGUAG
rnacentral:rRNA from 1 species